GGCUAUGGCCAUACCACCUUGAACAUGCCUGAUCUCAUCUGAUCUCGGAAGUGUAAGCAGGGCCGGCCCUGGUUAGUACUUGGAUGGGAGGCCCCCUUUCUAUUGGAAUAGUUU
rnacentral:rRNA from 1 species